rnacentral:tRNA from 1 species
GCACUGGUGGUUUAGGUUGGUUCUCAAACGUCCAAUUUAACAUCGAUGGGCCCCGCGUUCGAUUCGCGGUCAGUGCA